AGUUUGAUCAUGGCUCAGAACGAACGCUGGCGGCAUGCCUAACACAUGCAAGUCGAACGAACCCUUCGGGGUUAGUGGCGCACGGGUGCGUAACACGUGGGAAAUCUGCCCUUUGCUUCGGAAUAACAGUUAGAAAUGACUGCUAAUACCGGAUGAUGUCGUAAGACCAAAGAUUUAUCGGCAAAGGAUGAGCCCGCAUAGGAUUAGGUAGUUGGUGGGGUAAAGGCCUACCAAGCCGACGAUCCUUAGCUGGUCUGAGAGGACGAUCAGCCACACUGGGACUGAGACACGGCCCAGACUCCUACGGGAGGCAGCAGUGGGGAAUAUUGGACAAUGGGCGAAAGCCUGAUCCAGCAAUGCCGCGUGAGUGAUGAAGGCCUUCGGGUUGUAAAGCUCUUUACCAGGGAUGAUAAUGACAGUACCUGGAGAAUAAGCUCCGGCUAACUCCGUG
rnacentral:rRNA from 1 species